CCUACGGGUGGCAGCAGUGGGGAAUAUUGCACAAUGGGGGAAACCCUGAUGCAGCGACGCCGCGUGAGUGAAGAAGUAUUUCGGUAUGUAAAGCUCUAUCAGCAGGAACGAGACAAGACGGUACCUGACUAAGAAGCCCCGGCGAACUACGUGCCAGCAGCCGCGGUAAUACGUAGGGGGCAAGCGUUAUCCGGAAUCACUGGGUGGAAAGGGAGCGUAGAGGGCGGGGCAAGCCUGAAGUGAAAGGCGGGGGCCCAACCCCUGGACUGCUUUGGGAACUGUACGGCUGGAGUGCAGGAGAGGUAAGAGGAAUUCGUAGUGUAGCGGUGAAAUGCGUAGAUAUUAGGAGGAACACCAGUUGCGAAGGCGGCUUACUGGACUGUAACUGACGUUGAGGCUCGAAAGCGUGGGGAGCAAACAGGAUUAGAUACCCCUGUAGUC
rnacentral:rRNA from 1 species